rnacentral:rRNA from 1 species
GACGAACGCUGGCGGCGUGCUUAAGACAUGCAAGUCGAACGGGGUCCAUGAGAGCUUGCUCUCGGAAGACCUAGUGGCGAACGGGUGAGUAACACGUGAAGAACCUGUCCCGAAGACGAGGAUAAGCCGGGGAAACCUGGUCUAAUACUCGAUACCUUCACUUGAUCGCAUGGUCGAGUGAAGAAAUGAAUUUCGCUUCGGGAGGGCUUCGCGGCCUAUCAGCUUGUUGGUGAGGUAACGGCUCACCAAGGCAUCGACGGGUCGCUGGUCUGAGAGGACGACCAGCCACAUUGGGACUGAGAUACGGCCCAAACUCCUACGGGAGGCAGCAGUCGGGAAUAUUGCGCAAUGGGCGAAAGCCUGACGCAGCAACGCCGCGUGCGGGAUGAAGGCUCUCGGGUUGUAAACCGCUUUCAGUAGGGACGAAAUUGACGGUACCUACAGAAGAAGCACCGGCCAACUACGUGCCAGCAGCCGCAGUAAAAC